GGGACUCAGGUGGGAUUUACCCCUCACCUGGGAUAAAUUCCAGGGUUUCAGGGGGAUUUACACCUCUGAUACAUCUGGGAUUUACCUGGGAUAAACCCUCAGGUGGGAUUUACCCUCACCUGGGAUACACCUGGGCUCUCAGGUGGGAUUUACACCUGGGAUACACCUGGGCUCCCAUGUGGGAUUUACACCUAGGAUUAAAUCCUGGGCUCCCAGGUGGGAUUUACACCUGGGAUACACCUGGGCUCCCAGGUGGGAUUUACCUGGGAUAAACCCUCAGGUGGGAUUUACACCUAGGAUUAAACCCUGGGUUCCCAGGUGGGAUUUACACCUGGGAUAAACCCUCAGGUGGGAUUUACACCUAGGAUUAAAUCCUGGGCUCCCAGGUGGGAUUUACACCUGGGAUACACCUGGGUUCCCAGGUGGGAUUUACACCUGGGAUAAACCCUCAGGUGGAAUUUACGCCUGGGAUUAAACCCUGGGCUCCCAGGUGGGAUUUACCCUCACCUGGGAUAAUCCCAAGCUCCCAGGUGUGCCCCGGGGCUGCAGCAGGCCAGGUGAGCUGUGAGGAGCCUCCUGCACCCCUCCAGCCCCGGUGACAAUCCCUGUAGGUGACAGCUGUGAAAGGGGGAAUUGCCUGACAGUGUGCCCUGUCUGUGUGUCCCUUGUCUGUCUGUCUGUCUGUCUGUGGGU